CACAAAGCUAAAGGAUGUAGCUGCCAUGAUGACAGAUGACAUUAAUGCUCAAAGGGAGUCUCAUCAAAGUGCUCCGCAUCUGUGUGAAAGACAAUUGCAACAUCUUGGUGCAGGAGUUCAUGGACUUGACUGAGGCCACUGCACAGAUUGAGAAAACCACAAUGAACAUCUGUCUCCAGAGAUGCGCCAGGCAAUGACUUUUCUGAUGUUGGCAUCAUCAUCGAGGGUAUAGUAGUUCUUCAAGA